GUCGGUUACGGGGACAUGGCGCCCAAGACGUACGUGGGCAUGUUUGUCGGAGCCCUGUGCGCGCUGGCCGGAGUAUUGACCAUCGCACUGCCGGUGCCGGUCAUCGUCUCCAAC